rnacentral:rRNA from 1 species
CAGUCGAGCGAACAGACGAGGAGCUUGCUCCUUUGACGUUAGCGGCGGACGGGUGAGUAACACGUAGGUAACCUACCUAUAAGACUGGGAUAACUUCGGGAAACCGGAGCUAAUACCGGAUAAUAUUUCGAACCGCAUGGUUCGAUAGUGAAAGAUGGCUUUGCUAUCACUUAUAGAUGGACCUGCGCCGUAUUAGCUAGUUGGUAAGGUAACGGCUUACCAAGGCAACGAUACGUAGCCGACCUGAGAGGGUGAUCGGCCACACUGGAACUGAGACACGGUCCAGACUCCUACGGGAGGCAGCAGUAGGGAAUCUUCCGCAAUGGGCGAAAGCCUGACGGAGCAACGCCGCGUGAGUGAUGAAGGUCUUCGGAUCGUAAAACUCUGUUAUUAGGGAAGAACAAACGUGUAAGUAACUGUGCACGUCUUGACGGUACCUAAUCAGAAAGCCACGGCUAACUACGUGCCAGCAGCCGCGGUAAUACGUAGGUGGCAAGCGUUAUCCGGAAUUAUUGGGCGUAAAGCGCGCGUAGGCGGUUUUUUAAGUCUGAUGUGAAAGCCCACGGCUCAACCGUGGAGGGUCAUUGGAAACUGGAAAACUUGAGUGCAGAAGAGGAAAGUGGAAUUCCAUGUGUAGCGGUGAAAUGCGCAGAGAUAUGGAGGAACACCAGUGGCGAAGGCGACUUUCUGGUCUGUAACUGACGCUAAUGUGCGAAAGCGUGGGGAUCAAACAGGAUUAGAUACCCUGGUAGUCCACGCCGUANACGAUGAGUGCUAAGUGUUAGGGGGUUUCCGCCCCUUAGUGCUGCAGCUAACGCAUUAAGCACUCCGCCNGGGGAGUACGACCGCAGGGUUGAAACUCANAGGAAUUGACGGGGACCCGCACAAGCGGUGGAGCAGGUGGUUUAAUUCGAAGCAACGCGAAGAACCUUACCAAAUCUGGACAUCCUUUGACCCUUCUAGAGAUAGAAGUUUCCCCU